rnacentral:rRNA from 1 species
GAUGAACGCUGGCGGCGUGCCUAAUACAUGCAAGUCGAGCGAACGGACGAGAAGCUUGCUUCUCUGCUGUUAGCGGCGGACGGGCGAGUAACACGUGGAUAACCUACCUAUAAGACUGGGAUAACUUCGGGAAACCGUAGCUAAUACCGGAUAAUAUUUUGAACCGCAUGGUUCAAAAGUGAAAGACGGUCUUGCUGUCACUUAUAGAUGGAUCCGCGCUGCAUUAGCUAGUUGGUAAGGUAACGGCUUACCAAGGCAACGAUGCAUAGCUGACCUGAGAGGGUGAUCAGCCACACUGGAACUGAGACACGGUCCAGACUCCUACGGGAGGCAGCAGUAGGGAAUCUUCCGCAAUGGGCGAAAGCCUGACGGAGCAACACCGCGUGAGUGAUGAAGGUCUUCGGAUCGUAAAACUCUGUUAUUAGGGAAGAACAUAUGUGUAAGUAACUGUCCACGUCUUGACGGUACCUAAUCAGAAAGCCACGGCUAACUACGUG